rnacentral:lncRNA from 1 species
UACAUAAUUAAGAUUAAGAAAUCAAAACUAUGAUGUAGUAAACUAAAUAGUGUUAAACAAACCAGAAUAUGUUUUAUAUUUAAAAUUCUUCAAAGUAGCCACCUUUUGCUUUGAUGACAGCUUUGCACUCUUGGCAUUCUCUCAAUCAGAUUCAUGAGGUAGUCACCUGGAAUGGUUUUCCAACCGUCUUAAAGGAGUUCCCAGAGGUGCUGAGCACUUGUUAGCUGCUUUUCCUUCACUCUGUGGUCCAACUCAAAUUUCUGUACCCAAAGGUACAGUUGUCAGAAAGUACCCUACAAGCAUCUCAGGUAUGGAAACAACAUGGAUUUUGCAACAUUUUGGUUUGUCUUAUAAUCACAUGCAGUUGGUCCAUGGAAAGAUAUUUAUCCCAUGUGAGUAAAAUGUAUCAUUUCUUCACUAGCAGCCACCCACAUGGUU